rnacentral:rRNA from 1 species
GAUGAACGCUGGCGGCGUGCCUAAUACAUGCAAGUCGAGCGAACAGACGAGGAGCUUGCUCCUCUGACGUUAGCGGCGGACGGGUGAGUAACACGUGGAUAACCUACCUAUAAGACUGGGAUAACUUCGGGAAACCGGAGCUAAUACCGGAUAAUAUAUUGAACCGCAUGGUUCAAUAGUGAAAGACGGUUUUGCUGUCACUUAUAGAUGGAUCCGCGCCGCAUUAGCUAGUUGGUAAGGUAACGGCUUACCAAGGCAACGAUGCGUAGCCGACCUGUGAGGGUGAUCGGCCACACUGGAACUGAGACACGGUCCAGGCUCCUACGGGAGGCAGCAGUAGGGAAUCUGCCGCAAUGGGCGAAAGCCUGACGGAGCAACGCCGCGUGAGUGAUGAAGGUCUUCGGAUCGUAAAACUCUGUUAUUAGGGAAGAACAAAUGUGUAAGUAACUAUGCACGUCUUGACGGUACCUAAUCAGAAAGCCACGGCUAACUACGUG